UCUUUAAUCAAAGUUGAAUGUUCCUGUGUGUCUGGCAGCUCAGUAAUUCAGGCGCAGGCUCUAAUUUUGCAACAUUUUACAGCAGCAUCUCUGGAGCAUUAGCGACUAUUGGAUCAAUUGAAACCCAGACAUUCUGCUCAGCAGGGACAAAGAUAAGAAAUGUAUUAAUUUAGAUACAAGCUGCUUUAGACAAAAGUAAAAAAAAAAGACUGUUCACACUUCAAUAUUCAAAAUACGGUCACACAGAGAAUAGAAAGUAAUUUGGAACGGUCUUUUUUCUGAAACCAACUGAACUGAAGAGUUGGAAGCUAUCUGCCUGUGCAGGAGGCCAUAUAUAAAGAUGUCUCAGAACUAUGGCCACAUUCUGAGUUUGAUUGAACGAUGAACUAGACUAAGAAAGCUAUGGCCACAUUCUGAGUUUGAUCGAAAGACGAACCAAACUAAGGCUGAACAAUGAAACUUGGCAAGAAAUGAAGUGAGUGCAGCUUGGUGACAAAUAGCGCAAGAAUUAUAUGAAGGCAAAUACCAGGUGUUCAUCAUGUCGUCACUCUGUAGAAGAAUUAAAGCGAUCAUCCAUUAAAACAUUAAGCUGUCUAGUAACGCAUCUGGAUAUUCCACUAUGAGCCUACAUGAAUAUAAUGGGUUACAAAUAUCUUGCCUUGUCAUCACAUGGCAACUGUGAAGAUGUAAGUCUAGACGAUUGUGUUCUUGACACAGCUACUAAAUUGAGCUGCAGUGCACCCUAUCUCAAGCCAAUUCCCUUACCUGGCUGCAUAAGAGAUGAAUUUCCCCAAAAACCGCUAACAUCAACCUGAAAUGCUAGGACUGAUCAGGCCAUUUCAACUCGGUAGCCAGGCACCCUAAAAUAUAGCAGAUUGAACAUGCUGUACAGUUAGUCUGUGUUUUCUGUCAAUAUGUCCCAGUUAUGCCCGGUGGAACAUGCUGGUUCGUGACCCCGCAGAAUUGGGAAUAUUUCUAAUAAAAUUAUUUUACUUGUUAA